UCGAUGAAUGCCCGAAAGAUUCAAAUUCAAAAAAUAAAUAUUAGUCGCAUUUCGAAAUGAAAGAACUUACCUUCUAUUAAAAAUGAAACUUUCGAAUAUUUCGCAAAAAAAAAUUAGCGGGCUCCCCAGCCCCGUCCCCGAGCAUAGUCCAAGGAAUAUUUGAGAGAAUUUUCUGAAGAAUAUUGUGAUGAUCAAAAAUGAGUGAAAAAAAAAAGACGGAAAAGUCCUCAUUUUAUGAGAUCCAAUUCUUUGGUCAGUAGUAAAGACAAAAGAAAGUAUAAAAGAAAAGGGUUUCGUUUUAGAUUAUGGCUGUUCCGUACACGUUUGCUUUGGUCCAACAGGUCGUUCGGAAGAAACUUCAAUCAAGUCCGUUUUGCUAAAGAAAAAUGGAUUCGUGGGGUUUCCUCCUGCUAAGAAAGCGUUUAUUCUUCAGUUCAUUUUUCAAAAUCCUUCAAUUGGUACACGCAAGAAAUAGGCCAAUUCCGCAGCCUUUUGCUCAAUUUCUCGCGGAGUCAAAUUCUCAUCAGUACGAUUCAAGGGAAUGGCCCCCAAGCCUCUGCUUUCUAUAUAAAGGACACGACGAGCAUAAAUACCCUCUUUAACUUCUAUUCUGAUGGACUGAAUAUCUUUCAUAAGGAAUCGUAGAAAGAUGCGGCGAUUUUUUCCAGGAAAUCCCCAACGAAAAAUACACACUAUUCCCUCUUUUGUAUCAAAUCGAUCAUAACCGCUACCUACAUUCCAUAUAAUUGUGCACCACAAAUAGGAACUAAUAAAGAGACCCGCGAUCCCGUAGAAAGACAUCACGAUCCCUUGUGGAAAAAAAUUGAUUUGCUGCGACGGAAAUAAAGAUAGCAAAUUCCUAUCAAGAUAACUAGAAAUUCCAACCACUAAGAAUCCUAAUGAGCCUAAAAAAAGGAUAAAGGCCAGAAGAAAUUGCCUGGUUUGCGAGAGCCCGCUAUAAAUUCUACCCAUAUAUAUUCUGAUCGCCAACUCAUACAUACUAGCUCCAGUUGCAUUUUAUUGGAAUUGGGGAAAUAACCAAAACCAAAUCCAUUUUAGUUUACUUUUUGUAUUUCCGAAGUAACUCUCAUCAACUAGUACUAUUUGGACGUGAGCUCUUAGCAAUAAUUCAUCGAAUUGGUGAGGUAGAAUAAAAUAAGAGUAUCCCCUUCAUAUAAGUCCCUGUAGAUUGGUACCAUUGAAUGACUUUUCUUUUUCGAUAUUUGUUCAUGACAUGAGUUUAUUCGGAUCACUAGCUUCUCAUUGUUCUUAAAAAAUAGAAUAGAAUUUAUCGUUACCUAUGAUAUAUCAUGUUACACAUUGCAAAUAUAGAAGCUCAUUCAGUUUAUGAUUCGAAAGCGUCAUUAGUCUCUAAUAAUAUGUUAUAAUUGGAUAAUUAAAUAUAAUUAUUAUUAAAUAUUUAUAAAUAAAUAAAAUAUUAAAUAGUUACCCUUUUAUGCAACUCAGUUUUCUAUUUGUCUUAUGGUAUAUUUCCGCAUCAAUCGUUAUUCUUGAAAAAAAUAAGAUUUGUAAAUCCGAUCGAUCAAGGUCAAUCUCGUCUAGUUUUUUCAAGACUAGCGAUGACGGAUAUCCAUUUAGUAGAAUAGUGUAUAAGACUAAGAGGCGGCUUUCCCCGAACAUAAACGAAGAGCUCUUAUGCAUGUGUAAACAUGAUAUAUAGGUACAUAAAUUCUAUCUAUUUUGAACAAGAGGCUGUGAUCCGAACUCAUGUCUGCAAUGAAAGUCAAUGGUACCAAUCUACAGGGACUUAUAUGAAGGGAUACUCUUAUUUUAUUCUACCUCACCAAUUCGAUGAAUUAUUGCUAAGAGCUCACGUCCAAAUAGUACUAGUUGAUGAGAGUUACUUCGGAAAUACAAAAAGUAAACUAAAAUGGAUUUGGUUUUGGUUAUUUCCCCAAUUCCAAUAAAAUGCAACUGGAGCUAGUAUGUAUGAGUUGGCGAUCAGAAUAUAUAUGGGUAGAAUUUAUAGCGGGCUCUCGCAAACCAGGCAAUUUCUUCUGGGCCUUUAUCCUUUUUUUAGGCUCAUUAGGAUUCUUAGUGGUUGGAAUUUCUAGUUAUCUUGAUAGGAAUUUGCUAUCUUUAUUUCCGUCGCAGCAAAUCAAUUUUUUUCCACAAGGGAUCGUGAUGUCUUUCUACGGGAUCGCGGGUCUCUUUAUUAGUUCCUAUUUGUGGUGCACAAUUAUAUGGAAUGUAGGUAGCGGUUAUGAUCGAUUUGAUACAAAAGAGGGAAUAGUGUGUAUUUUUCGUUGGGGAUUUCCUGGAAAAAAUCGCCGCAUCUUUCUACGAUUCCUUAUGAAAGAUAUUCAGUCCAUCAGAAUAGAAGUUAAAGAGGGUAUUUAUGCUCGUCGUGUCCUUUAUAUAGAAAGCAGAGGCUUGGGGCCAUUCCCUUGAAUCGUACUGAUGAGAAUUUGACUCCGCGAGAAAUUGAGCAAAAGGCUGCGGAAUUGGCCUAUUUCUUGCGUGUACCAAUUGAAGGAUUUUGAAAAAAUGAACUGAAGAAUAAACGCUUUCUUAGCAGGAGGAAACCCCACGAAUCCAUUUUUCUUUAGCAAAACGGACUUGAUUGAAGUUUCUUCCGAACGACCUGUUGGACCAAAGCAAACGUGUACGGAACAGCCAUAAUCUAAAACGAAACCCUUUUCUUUUAUACUUUCUUUUGUCUUUACUACUGACCAAAGAAUUGGAUCUCAUAAAAUGAGGACUUUUCCGUCUUUUUUUUUUCACUCAUUUUUGAUCAUCACAAUAUUCUUCAGAAAAUUCUCUCAAAUAUUCCUUGGACUAUGCUCGGGGACGGGGCUGGGGAGCCCGCUAAUUUUUUUUUGCGAAAUAUUCGAAAGUUUCAUUUUUAAUAGAAGGUAAGUUCUUUCAUUUCGAAAUGCGACUAAUAUUUAUUUUUUGAAUUUGAAUCUUUCGGGCAUUCAUCGAAGGGGGAAUCACUUCGAAUAUUUGAUCAAUUGAGAUAUCCGGAAACCCGAUUUUUUUUUAUUAUUUCUUGCUUCAAAUUCAAAUUUGAAUUUGAAGCGAGAAUUCGCGGUGGAUUCUUCUUCGAUUUCUGUAGGUUUGCUACACUCGGUUCAAGGACUAACCGCCGAAUCCCAACUAAAAAAAAAAAGACUCGAUUUAUAGGCGCGAUACUUGUAAUCGAACUCAUGCUUGAUAGAAAUAUUAGACGCAUAGAAUCAACAAAUGAGGUGGGUUCAUUAACAAUUCACAGAUGAAAAAAUGACAAAAAAGAACGCAUCCAUUCCCCUUAGAUAUCUUUCAUCUAUAGUAUUUGUAGUAUUUUUGCCCUGGUGGAUCCCUCUCUCAUUUAAUAAAAGUCUGGAAUCCUGGGUUACUAAUUGGUGGAAUACUAGUCAAUCCGAAACCUUUUUGAAUGAUAUUCAAGAAAAGGCUAUUCUAGAAAAAUUCAUAGAAUUAGAGAAUUAUUUCUCUUGGACGAAAUGAUAAAGGAAUUUCCGGAAAGACGUCUAGAAAAGCUUCGUAUAGGGCUCCAGAAAGAAACAAUCCAAUUAAUCAAGAUGCACGAUGAGGAUCAUAUCCAUACGAUUUUUCACUUUUCGACAAAUACAAUCUGCUUCGUUAUUCUAAGUGGUUAUUCUAUUUUGUGUAAUGAAGAACUUUUUAUUCUUAACUCUUGGGUUCAAGAAUUCCUAUAUAAUUUAAGCGACACAAUAAAAAGCCUUUUCGAUUCUUUUCGUAACUGAUUUAUGUAUCGGAUUCCAUUCACCCCGCGGUUGGGAACUACUGAUUGGCUAUGUCUACAACGACUUUGGCUUGCUCAUAAUGAUAAUGAUAUUAUUCUAUCUGUUCUUGUUUCCACUUUUCCAGUCGUUUCUAGAUACAUUUUUUUAAAUAUUGGCUUUUUCUUAUUUAAAUCGUGUAUCUCCGUCACUUGUAGUGAUUUAUCAUUCAAUGACUGAGUGAAAAGCGAUUCAAUGAUCCAAUUAGAAUAUUUCUUAUUUUGUACAUAAGCAAAGCAUUCAAAGCUGUACUUACCUUACUUUUUCUACCCAUCCAGAGGAUCCCUCCCAGAUUCCAGGAAUCCUAUACCUAUAUUCCAGUAAAAUGAUUUCAGGAAAUAGCAAAAUCGCGGAUAGGGAACUAUAUUAGUGACCUACCAAAUUUUAUUGUAGAAAUUUUCGGGAUCAACGAUUGGACCAUGCAAAUUAGAAAUACCUUUUCUUCGUUAAAGGGAGAGAUUACUCGAUUCAUUUCCGUAUCCCUCAUGAUAUAUAUAAUAACUCGGCAUCAAUUUCAAAUGCAUAUCCCAUUUUUGCGCAGCAGGGUUUUGAAAAUCCACGAGAAGCAACUGGUCGUAUUGUAUGCGCCAAUUGCCAUUUAGCUAAUAAGCCCGUGGAUAUUGAGGUUCCACAGGCGGUACUCCCCGAUACUGUAUUUGAAGCAGUUGUUAGAAUUCCUUAUGAUAUGCAACUAAAACAAGUUCUUGCUAAUGGUAAAAAGGGGGCUUUGAAUGUGGGGGCCGUUCUUAUUUUACCAGAGGGUUUGAAUUAGCCCCCCCGAUCGUAUUUCGCCCGAGAUGAAAGAAAAGAUAGGCAAGCUGUCUUUUCAGACCUACCGACCCACUAAAAAAACAUUCUUGUGAUAGGGCCAGUUCCUGGUCAGAAAUAUAGUGAAAUAACUUUUCCUAUUCUUUCCCGAACCCGCGACUAAUAAAGAUGCUUACUUCUUAAAAUAUCCAAUAUACGUAGGUGGGAACAGGGGAAGGGGUCAGAUUUAUCCCGACGGGAACAAAAGUAACAAUACGGUUUAUAAUGCUACAUCUGCGGGUAUAGUAGCAAAAUCAUACGAAAAGAAAAAGGGGGAUACGAAAUAACCAUAACGGAUGCAUCGAAUGGACGUGAAGUGGUUGAUAUUAUCCCCCCAGGACCAGAACUUCGUGUUUCAGAGGGCCAAUCUAUCAAACUUGAUCAACCAUUAACAAGUAAUCCUAAUGUAGGCGGGUUUGGUCAGGCAGA
rnacentral:lncRNA from 1 species